rnacentral:rRNA from 1 species
GACGAACGCUGGCGGCGUGCCUAACACAUGCAAGUCGAGCGAACAGACGAGGAGCUUGCUCCUCUGACGUUAGCGGCGGACGGGUGAGUAACACGUGUAUAACCCACCUAUAAGACUGGGAAAACUUCGGGAAACCGGAGCUAAUACCGGAUAAUAUAUUGAACCGCAUGGUUCAAUAGUGAAAGACGGUUUUGCUGUCUCUUAUAGAUGGAUCCGCGCCGCAUUAGCUAGUUGGUAAGGUAACGGCUUGCCAAGGCAACGAUGCGUAGCCGACCUGAUAGGGUGAUAGGCCACACUAGAACUGGGACGCGGACCAGACUACUACGGGAGGCAGCAGUAGGGAAUCGUCCGCAGUGGGCGAAAGCCUGACGGAACAGCGCCACGUGGGUGAUGAAGGUCUUCGGAUCGUAAAACUCUGUUAUUAGGGAAGAACAGAUGUUUAAGUAACUAUGCACGUAUUGACGGUACCUAAUCAGAAAGCCACGGCUAACUACGUG